GAUGAACGCUAGCGGGAGGCCUAACACAUGCAAGCCGAGCGGUAUUGUUUCUUCGGAAAUGAGAGAGCGGCGUACGGGUGCGGAACACGUGUGCAACCUGCCUUUAUCUGGGGGAUAGCCUUUCGAAAGGAAGAUUAAUACUCCAUAACAUAUUGAACGGCAUCGUUUGAUAUUGAAAGCUCCGGCGGAUAGAGAUGGGCACGCGCAAGAUUAGCUAGUUGGUGAGGUAACGGCUCACCAAGGCGAUGAUCUUUAGGGGGCCUGAGAGGGUGAUCCCCCACACUGGUACUGAGACACGGACCAGACUCCUACGGGAGGCAGCAGUGAGGAAUAUUGGUCAAUGGGUGCAAGCCUGAACCAGCCAUCCCGCGCGAAGGACGACUGCCCUAUGGGUUGUAAACUUCUUUUGUAUAGGGAUAAACCUACUCUCGUGAGGGUAGCUGAAGGUACUAUACGAAUAAGCACCGGCUAACUCCGUGCCAGCCGCCGCCGUAACAC
rnacentral:rRNA from 1 species